CACAAAGAGUUCUAUAAAAGGGGGGACGGGGUGGUCGAGCGGUUUAAUUCGUCGGCUGCGGCGCAGCCGGCUCCGGUUCGAUCCUCGGCCACUGGGUGGCAUUUUUCUCCGGGCAAGUCACGGUGUCCGGAGAACAAGUGCUGCCAUCCCCCCACCCCGGGGCAUGGCAGAAACCUACGGGUGCCCCAUUAAAAAUUCUGCCAAAUACACUCACGUGUAACACCCCUACUGUUUCAACCCUACUGUACCAACCCUACCAACCUACAGGCUAAUGACCUAAGUUGUCGAAGCCUUAAAAAAAUAAAAAAAAAAAAAAAAAAAAAGUUCUAUAAAAAAAAAAAACCAUAGAUUUAUCAUAUUAUAUUAUUCGUCAUCUGUGGUAUACGACAAUCGAUGACAUUCGUCGAAGAUGAUUAACAAUUCUAUAAUAGUCUUAAUGAACAGUACUGAAGUACAUGACAAAAUCACGAUUGAAGAACGAUAUGAAGAAAAUUUGCAGUUUCUUCGGCGGCGGUGCACUACUACGUAUAGUCUGAAGAUUGACACAACUCGGUUUCACGGGAACAGUCGACGCUUAAAUCUUGCCAUAAUAUCGGAAAAACAAAAAAAGUGAAAUAAUUACGCUAUAACCCGGAGGACGAUUGGCAGUAUCAUUAAGAAGCUCAUCUGAAUAACACAAAUAAGUGUCGCAAGGCUGUGUUUGUUUAAUAAUAUAAUUUUUUGAACAGUAGUACAGUAUAUUAUGAAUAUUUACUUAAAUUAUAUUUAAUUUUUAUGGUUUUUUUUUCAGAUAAUAUACUGUACUACGGUUUUAGGUGUUCUUUUUAUUUUAAUAAUACGUUGAUAAAUUACCAAUUUUUUCAAUUUUUUUUUCUUAUCACAAAGCUAGUUCGUCUUUGUGUAUGUUUAAAUUUAUAUUUUUUUAUAGUUAUUGUGCUGUUUAACUUUCUUACAAAAGAGAGUGAGGAAUUAAAAAGGUGGCCACCGAACAGAAAGUUAAACUGCAAUAUACUAUAAUCUUUUUAGUUCUUGUUUACAUUUUUAACUAAUAAAUUAUGAAUAUAAAAUUUCAAAUUAAUUUAAAUUCAAAAAUAAAAGAACACCAACAUAGAUUUCUUAAACAUUAAAAUUUUACUAUAAGUUUAAAUUUAAUUUAAUUAGCACAUUAGUUGAAGUUUUAUAGGAACCGAACAUUUGGCUGGAUCAUGGACUAUCCACCGACGGAGAAUUUGUCAUUGAGCUGAUGGGAAAUGUGUCGGCACUCGGCUUCAUUUCAACUUGGAGGAAGAUUGGCAGCAGCAAAAAGAAAUUCAACUGAUAAUCAACUGUCCAAAUGAAGAAGAAUUUGUCACAAAGCUGAUGGGAAAUGUGUCAGCACUCGGCUUCGUUUCAAACCGGAGGAAGAUUGGCAGCAGCAAAAAGAAAUUCAACUGAUAAUCAACUGUCCAAAGUAUUUUGAAGAAGAAUUUGUCACAAAGCUGAUGGGAAAUGUGUCGGCACUCAGCUUCGUUUCAACCCGGAGGAAGAUUGGCAGCAUCAAUAAGAAGCUCAUCUUAAUUUAGUUGUCCCCCCUUUACGCAUUAGCGCUCAUCUCUCAUCCACUCAUCCAACACAUUCACUAUCGCCGGCCGGCAACACACAUAUAUUAUACACAUUACCCGUUUUAUAUUAUAUAAUUUUAUUAAUACCUACAUAGUUUAAGUUAUUGUAUAUUUUUUUUUUAUUAUUUGAAUGCAUUCAUAUGAUCAGUUGUGUAUUUAGGAAUUUUAGGAUAAGGGCAACACAUAUUUUGCCGCAUUCCCCCCAUUAAAAAAAAAUUAAAAAACUUCUACGCCGCGCAAUAGUGGUCAAACU